rnacentral:rRNA from 1 species
GAUGAACGCUGGCGGCGUGCUUAACACAUGCAAGUCGAACGAAGCACUUUAUUUGAUUUCCUUCGGGACUGAUUAUUUUGUGACUGAGUGGCGGACGGGUGAGUAACGCGUGGGUAACCUGCCUUGUACAGGGGGAUAACAGUUGGAAACGGCUGCUAAUACCGCAUAAGCGCACAGCAUCGCAUGAUGCAGUGUGAAAAACUCCGGUGGUAUAAGAUGGACCCGCGUUGGAUUAGCUAGUUGGUGAGGUAACGGCCCACCAAGGCGACGAUCCAUAGCCGACCUGAGAGGGUGACCGGCCACAUUGGGACUGAGACACGGCCCAAACUCCUACGGGAGGCAGCAGUGGGGAAUAUUGCACAAUGGGCGAAAGCCUGAUGCAGCGACGCCGCGUGAGCGAAGAAGUAUUUCGGUAUGUAAAGCUCUAUCAGCAGGGAAGAUAAUGACGGUACCUAACUAAGAAGCACCGGCUAAAUACGUG